UAGCGGCGAGUGAAGCGGCAAGAGCUCAGAUUUGAAAUCGUGCUUUGCGGCACGAGUUGUAGAUUGCAGGUUGGAGUCUGUGUGGAAGGCGGUGUCCAAGUCCCUUGGAACAGGGCGCCCAGGAGGGUGAGAGCCCCGUGGGAUGCCGGCGGAAGCAGUGAGGCCCUUCUGACGAGUCGAGUUGUUUGGGAAUGCAGCUCCAAGCGGGUGGUAAAUUCCAUCUAAGGCUAAAUACUGGCGAGAGACCGAUAGCGAACAAGUACUGUGAAGGAAAGAUGAAAAGCACUUUGAAAAGAGAGUGAAACAGCACGUGAAAUUGUUGAAAGGGAAGGGUAUUGCGCCCGACAUGGGGAUUGCGCACCGCUGCCUCUCGUGGGCGGCGCUCUGGGCUUUCCCUGGGCCAUCAUCGGUUCUUGCUGCACGAGAAGGGGUUCUGGAACGUGGCUCUUCUGAGUGUUAUAGCCACGGCCAGAUGCUGCGUGCGGGGACCGAUGGCUGCGGCUUCGCCCCUCCACUAUGCAGGCCUGACGGCGUCUUUUCCUGCUUUC
rnacentral:rRNA from 1 species